GAAAGAUAAAUUUUGGUAUGAUUCCACUUACGUGAGGUACCUAGGGUAGUCAAACUGAUAGAAACAGAAAGUAGAAUGGUAGCUGCCAGGGGCUGGGGGAGGGGAAGUGGGAAGUUAAUGGGUACAGAGUUUCGGUUUUGUAAGACGAAAACGUUCUAGAGAUCUGUUGCACAACACUGAUAAAUUGAUUGUACAUCAAGGCAUCAAGAGCCAUAUUGGAGAAUGAUGUUCCUCAAAUCAGGGCUUUCGUAGCCUCCGGCAACAGCCGUCCGAUUCCAGUCUUUGAAACUGUCCAACACCUGGUAUAUUGCACCCUGCGGUUCAUUCUCCUCUCCUACUUCCUUCCAGUUCACCACCAGUGACGAUUUGCCCAAUUGCGCCACACCUGCAUGCCAGAGGUCACCGGUACUCUGCAAACCACCAAUGACAGCGUCUUCAUGGUCAGGCAACCGGCAGGUGAUCCAGCUUUGAAAUCCCAUUUUACUUUGUUUCCUAAAGCCACUUUCAGUAUCGACGGACAUAGGUUACGUUCCUCUGUGAAGUUGGCAUGCAAGAAGCUUUGGGAGGGGGUGUGAUGGGGAUGCUCUCAGGAACGAUACCUGUAAACGAGUGAGAGAAGCAGCAUCGCACAGAGGGAGAAGCCGAAUAGCGACCAAGUAGCUCUGAAGCUCCCAAUAGAACCGCAGGGAAUUCUGAGGUGGAUUUUCAGGGUUGUCUGAUCGAAGCAAGGGGGCUAGGCAUUUAUUCUCCCUCCUGGACCGGUCAUUCACGCAAGAUGCCUUCAGGGAGGGCACUUGAUCCUGGGUGAGGCACGCCUCUUUGGCUGAGCUGGGGCAGUGAGGGCCUUGGCUAAGGACUGCAGGAUCUGCGGAAACACCACAGCAUCCUCUACGGAGACUCUUUCUCAUACGGGUAUGCAGGUAUCCCACGCACAUGUUGCGUAUUAGAUAUUGUGAAUAUCUUUUUUUCAGCCUGUCAUCCGUCUGUUAGCUCUCAGUGUCAUUUCUUGAGCAGACUCUCUUAAUUAUGAUGUGACCAAAUUAAUAGAUUUCCCUCCUUACUGAUUUGUUCUCAUUCCUUAGGUCGUGAAGAUAUCCUCCUACAUUAUGUUUUUUCAAAAAAUAUAUUUUUACUUUCAAAAUUGGA